rnacentral:rRNA from 1 species
UACAGAGGUCUCAAGCGUUGUUCGGAUUCAUUGGGCGUAAAGCGUGUGUAGGCGGCUAUGUAAGUCGGAUGUGAAAGCCCCGGGCUCAACUCGGGAAGUGCACUCGAUACUGCGUAGCUAGAGUACCGGAGAGGUUGGUGGAAUUCUCGGUGUAGAGGUGAAAUUCGUAGAUAUCGAGAGGAACACCGGUGGCGAAGGCGGCCAACUGGACGAGUACUGACGCUGAGACACGAAAGCGUGGGGAGCAAACAGG